rnacentral:snoRNA from 1 species
GGGGUGUGAUCAGAGCAGGGCGCCUGAAGAAUGGCUGUUCUGUUUACAACACAUCCAACUAGGAACUUGGGUUUACUCUUCACAGGUGAUGUUACGCUCUAUAUGU